GAAGGUAUAGCUCAUGUGGUUGAGUGCAUGCUUAACAUGCACAAGGUCCUGGGCUCAAUCCCCAGUACCUCCU
rnacentral:tRNA from 1 species